GGCUGGGUGGGGCAUGGGAUUCGAAUCAGCCAGACCCCGCCUCCUCUUCCAGAUUUCUAAGCUGCACCCUUUCUCCCCAUAUCGCUCCAGGUGAAUGCUGGCUUCAAAACAGUCCGGCAAACACAACCCUUCUCUAGCCCAAUAGAAACAAAGACCUUAGCGCUUCUGACCCUGGGCACAACCCAGCCUCCCUUCCCAGCAGUCCUUGCAAUCACAGACAGAGACCACCAAGGGAUGAGAAAGACACACUGAGAAAGUGUCCUUGUGUCUCCCUGCCGACCCCAUCCCGGGCCCCCCGCACUGACCGGUGUGUGCUGCCGCCGAGCUCCACGUACGCGGGACACAUGGGAAGUGCAGGCCGGGCCUGUGGCUCAGUAGCCGCGCGGAGACUCCUCUCAAAGCCAUAUAUAUAGUCGGCGACUGUCGCAGCGACCGCCACCUGGAAAAGCCGGGCGUCAGCAGAGUCCAGCUUUCUCCCUCCCAGUCCCCUGCUUACCUGGUGCCUGCAGACUGUGCUCGGGACCUGCACACUUGACCUCGGCCUGAUAGGGGUUGCUCAUUGGUUCCUCCUUGGUUCCGCCCAGAACACCCCCCUCCUCCUUUUAAAAGGGCCAAGGUAGCAGCCUGCCUUUGGAAGCGGGCUCUUCCUUGCGUAGGCAGGUAGUCCCUUUAAGAAUCCAAACAAGGAAGGGGCGGAAAACGAGGGCACAAGCCCAAUUGGCCAACUGUAUUUCUGCUCCGCCCACCCCAUCUUUGCCAGUUGCCAAGGGCCUGAGGGGCGGGAUCCCAAAGUUCAUUAAGGAAGUCUGGGGGCCAGACCUUGAGAAAUCCGCAAAUGGUGUGCGCGAGGAGAGAAAGGUGGGUCGCUAGUGGGUGAUCUCAGCCAAUGCCGUCCGCCGGUCUAUCCAGCUUGUUAGUUUGUGUGUACUCUGUGAGUGGGCGUGAUCUCGUGUGCCAGAGUAACUGCAUUUCUGUGAAUGUUGCUUGUAUGUGUGCGGUUCUCCUGCUUGCUAGAUGUUUGUGUAGAAUAAUCUAGAAUAUGUUGUAACUGGUGUCUUGGAUAUUAUUAUUUCUAUUGGAAUAUGCUCUGUUUUGAACAGAGUAAGACAAGAAUAGAAAAAAGGGAAAAUGUAACUGUAAACCUCUCCUGAGAAAUGGUAACUGGUUAUCCCGUCAAAACAGCCGCCUUACUAGUGUCCUUCGAGAGGAGAAUGGUUUAACUAUUGAUCCAGUAUUUGCUUCUGAAAGGUGCUUGACUGACCAUAGAGAGGGAUUUCCCUUUGUAAACUUAUAUCGGCCCCUUAUUGGCUCUUAGUAGUUUAAGCCACCAAUGAAGAUGGUUUAGCAAUAAUGUGACAACUAUAAAUGUUGUAGAAACCCACGUGCAAUUGCUCAAACCCAGGGUGUUUUUUCUCCUCAGAGUCCACAAGUAAUAAAUUCUUCUGAUCCUCCUCAGUCUUUAGUGUCUGAGCAACUUUGUCGUGUGGUCUUUCCUGUAACAUGUUUGUGGGGUCAUAUUUCUGUCUUGUGACAUAAUUGGCUAUGUCCCCUUUUAGAGCUGUGUGUGGGUGAGCUCCUGUGGUAGUUAUCUUUACAAGUGUAUCAUGUUCUGUUUUGUUCCCCCCCCCCCAGUGUAUGUGUGUGCCCUCACUUGAGUGCAAGUUUGAAUUACACGUAUCUAUUUAUUGUGUGUGUGUGUGUGAGAGAACACUUACAGGAGAGCCAGUGAGAGAGAGAGAAAACACACAAUUGCCCAGUGUGUGUGUGUGUGUGUGUGUGUGUGUGUGAGAGAGAGAGAGAGAGAGCAAACACACACUUACACAAGUGCCUAGUGCGUGCCACAGCUCCCCAUGUGGAGGAGGUGAAGGGCAACUUUCAAGAGUUGUUUCUCUCCUACUGUUUGUCCUGGGAUCCGAGGUGCUUAGGUUUGUGACAAGCGCCUUACUGCUGAACAGUCUUAAGCAGGCCCCUUUGACACAGGGCCUCUGUUAUGCUUCUAGGGUUGCUCAGAGGUUCACCAUGACCCUAAACAAACUUUAAUAAACAGAGGCUUUUUAUUUAGUUACUGGUGCCCAAGAGUACUCCUCAAGAUGCAGCCCCUAGCCACAUCAGCCCAAGGCUUAUAAAGGCAAAACCCACAAGAUGACAUGUGGUCAGGCUCUAAUUUUAACAUAUAUAUCUUAUAGUUGCCCUAGUCAUCUUUGUUAGCAGAGUAAGCAAGUUUGAUUACAAAAGCAGAAAUAGCAGUUAGUCAUAUGACCAGCUAGAACAGUCAAGACCAGUCAAUUUAAGAAUAGGCUUGGCUGGGAGGCAGUGGUGGGUGCACCUUUAAUCUCAGCACUCAGGAGGCAGAGCCAGGCAGAUCUCUGUGAGUUCAGGGCCAGCCUGGUCUACAGAGUGAGAUCCAGGAGAGGGACCAAAACUACACAGAGAAACCCUCUAUUGAAAAUAAAUAAAAUAAAACAAAAUAAAAUAAAUAAAUAAUUUAUGUUCAAAGAGUAAGACACAGCCAGGUUGGUGGUAGUGCAUGCUUUUAGUCCCAGGUAGCGCAGGCAGGCUGGUCUCUGUGAGUCAAGGCCAGCUUGAUCUACAGAGGGAGUUCCAGGACAGCCAGGGAUAUACAAAGAAACCCUGUCUCAAAAAAAAAAAAAAAAAAAAAAGAAAAAAGAAAAGAAAGAAAGAAAGAAAGAAAAGAGGAAAAGAGGAAGCUAUGUAGAGUUUCAGAAAAUGGUAUUGCAUUUAUUCAAAUACAGGUAAUUAAAGUAUAAUUAUGUAAACUUAAAUGGCACAUGAUUAUGAUUAAAUUAAAUCAAUCUUAAUUUUAUAUUUACAGUUUCAGUCCAGAGCAUUACAUUCAUGCAGUGGUAAGAAGCACUGAUUUUUUUCAAAUAUCCAUCCUCCUGAGAAAUGCAAGUGUUGAGCUGAAGUUGUUAACUCCUGUUUGAAUAUAUGAUACCCUAACAGAAAGCCAAAGUCUAGGAAAUGUAAAUGUUAUUUGUGAUAAAUAAAACAUACACAAAUAUAUAUACUAACGUGUGUAUUAGUAUUAUGUGUAUAUUAUAUAUAGUAGUUAUAUCUGG